rnacentral:tRNA from 1 species
GGGAUUGUAGCUCAGUGGUAGAGCACUCAUCUAGCAUGUGUGAAGCCCUGGGUUCAAUCCUCAGCACCA